UUAUAUUCCAAGAUUGGCAGCAAUGAAGUCCAAGAUGUUCUGAAAGUGAAGGCUAAUUUGUGCGAAGCAUUAAAAGAAGUGGGUCAUGCUGCUUGUAAUUAUUGUAUAGAGAAAGAAAGCUAUAAGAGUAAUGAUGUAAUCAGUUCGUCAUAAUACAAGGGGAAUAUUGUAACAGAGGAUGGGUUCAACCUCUAUAAAAACCCACUAUCUUAUGUAUUUGGGCAUCGAUG
rnacentral:misc_RNA from 1 species